UACGUAGGGUGCAAGCGUUGUCCGGAAUUAUUGGGCGUAAAGAGCUCGUAGGCGGUUUGUCGCGUCUGCCGUGAAAGUCCGGGGCUCAACUCCGGAUCUGCGGUGGGUACGGGCAGACUAGAGUGAUGUAGGGGAGACUGGAAUUCCUGGUGUAGCGGUGAAAUGCGCAGAUAUCAGGAGGAACACCGAUGGCGUAGGCAGGUCUCUGGGCAUUAACUGACGCUGAGGAGCGAAAGCAUGGGGAGCGAACAGG
rnacentral:rRNA from 1 species